rnacentral:tRNA from 1 species
GGCCCCGUAGCUCAGCGGAUAGAGCGGCAGAUUCCUAAUCUGUAGGUCGCAGGUUCAAGUCCUGCCGGGGUCGCCA